CAGAGGGCACACUCAGCCGGCCUCCCGAGGACAAGGCAGGGCCCCCUCCAGCCCAGGGCUCCGGGCCCGGGUCCUCCGAAGCAGGCCUCCCUGUAAUUACUACCGUGGGGUGCAGAGCCCCCUCUUUCAGGGCUGUCUCCGGCCCUGGGGGGGGCAGCUGCUAUCCCGCCUCAGGGAGAGAGGGUACAGAGCCACCCCGUGACUCACUGUGCCCACUUCCUGCCACAUAGAACCCUUGGCUGAGUCACAGGCCCCCCAAAGGGAGAGACUGGCCACAAGGCCGGAAAGCUGGAGCCCGAUGGUGGCAGGAGUAGAGGGUGCGGGUCCCGCGGGGCCACCGCUGCCGUCUCCCGUGGCCAGAGCCCCAAGUCUCCUCCGAGCAGUACCAAGCCUCCGCCAGCUGGACUGACUCUCUGCUGGUAUCUUCCCUCCAGACCCUUCCAAACAAAAACAAAACCAGAAACCCCAACUUUUUAUUUUGAAAUAGUUUCAGUUGCAAAAGUACUACAAACAAUUCCCGUAUCCCCUUCACCCGGACACCCCCAAACAGUCGGUGUUACCAUUUCUCUUCCUGCUUCUCUCCCCACUUUCAUCCGAGGCCAUUUGAGGGGUCAGCCUGGGGCAAGCAGGGGAGACCCACCUGGCCAAGGCUGGCGAGGGGUCAGCACCCCAACUUCUUCCCUCAUGCGGGGCCUGGGACACGGAAAGAGCACCUGCAUCUGUGAAAUUGGAGACUGCAAUUUACUGAAGGGCUCAGCCGCCUGGCCCCCUCUCUCCUUGCUUCCCUCCAGGGGAUGGGAGAGGGGGCGGAUGGGAGAACUUCCGAUGAACUCUGGCCCAGACGAUGAAAAUUCCUGAAGCCAGGAUGUUCUGUGGGAAAGGGCUAGAAGGGAGAAGCAAGCAGCCACACUGGCUCUGGGGUCACGCCCGCCAGUCCGGCAGAGGGGCCGGCACCUUCCCACCUCCGACCUCACAAACCCCCCGGGGAUGCUCCGUGAUGGGAAGGGAGACCACAGCCGGACCACAUAUUUGUCCAGCCUGGCCCGCCCAGGAGCGCACCCCACUUCCCCGGCUGACGCUGCUGGGAGCACAGAGGUGUCCGGGUACCUUGGACAAAUGCGGAGAUUAACAGCUGGCAGGAAGGACUGGUUUGGAGGCUGUGGCCAGUGGGGGUGGUGCCCACAGCCCGGGGGCCAGGGGUACAGCUGUCACCGGCCCGUGUCGUGCAAAGUGGAGGUUCAGCUGAGAGGCCUGGGCGAGGGGGGUGCGGUGCAGGCGGUGACUACAGAUCAGGGUUUCAGAAUCACAGGGUCCAGCCCCAAGAAGGCAGAAUCGGAGCCCAGAACUGAGGGACAAAGAAUGCCAGCCACGGAAGGGCAGGAACCUUUGGGAGGACAGAGGGUGAUGGGAGCCGCCAUCAGCUCCCUGGUUAUCAGGGAUGAAGCCGGGUGGGCUCCCUGACCCCCAGCGCAGCCGAGCCGAGCCUCCUGGAGACCUCGCCCCUGCGCAGAGACCUGGAACCGGGCGCUUGCUGCCCAGCUGCCCAGCAGAUGAUGAGCCGUGGCUCUACUCCUGCCUCUGCCCCGGCUAACUGGGUGACCCUGGGCAAGAUACUUACCUUUUCUGGGCUUCAGUUACCUCAUCUAUAAAAUGGACAUACUGACUAGCUGUGCCUCGCUCAGGUGUUAUGAAGACCAGACACAAUGGUAGGGAGGAACCACAUUUAAUCAGCACUUACUGAGCCCUUGGUGUGUGUCAGGCUCCGUGCUAGGCUGCCCAUCAGGAAACAGGAGUAUUGGGAGUGUGUCUAACAAGACGCUCUCAUCGGGUCAGGGAAGGGGUGCGUCAGCCAUGCCCUGAGUAGAAGUUACCCAACGGGGCAGCGGAGAGCAGAGGCGGCCUAAAAACCACAGCCCGUGGGCCAAAUCUGACCUUUUACAUUUUUAAAUCAUUGCAAAACAAAAUUUUAAAAAUGCUAUUUCCGGACCCUACAGAUCGUACAAAGUUCACUUUUCAAUGUCCACAAAUAAAGUUUUAUUAGAACACA